CUUCUACAAGUUCUUUCCAGAACAUUCUUCUACACUCAAUCACUGGUGUUGUUUCAAAAAAUAACUUCUCAUAUUAUACACUACAAAAUAAAGGAUAUAUUUCUAUUAUAUUAAUAUCAGAGUGACGCUGAUUUGUAUGUAUCACAGCCUCAUAUUUCACAUCAUCCUACUUUUGAUCCAGAUACAUAUUGCCUUCAAUCUACUACAUGUGGAAUUGAUAUUCUUCAUAUACCAAAAUGGUUUAAACGGCCUAUUUAUC